rnacentral:lncRNA from 1 species
GUCAGCUUCUCCUAGAAAACUGAAUGCAUCCAGCAGACAGUCAAAUGAAGGACUGAGCCAGGGAAGGUGUACUACAGGAAUUUGCUCAUCUUCUUCCUUACGGAAAAGUGUUGGGACAAUCUAAUUGAAAACAGAGACCUGGCUGGGACAAAGAUGGAAAUGAAAGUGAAGUGCCAGCCUUGGACUGCCUUACUGAAUGGAGAGGAUUCUGAGUGCUUGAGCAACAUCUAA